CAAAGGCCUUAGUUGUGAAUAGAAUGAUUAUAAAUGUAUUGAUGAACGAUGAGCUCAUAAACCUGCACCCCGGGUGAUUGCGAUCUAGCCAGAGAGAGCUGGCACAUGCCUGUAUAUUAUGUCACCUCCCGCACCAUAUGCUCACAUUGGAUCCAAUUAGGUGCACAGUUUUGUCAUACAGACCACUAUACGUGGUUCCGACUCGUAGGUGACUAACGUAUUAUCACACAGCUAGUAUUGAGAGAGUAAAUUGAGCAUAAUUAUAUUACACCUAACCUUGUCGUACAGACCCUUUCCAGGGGUUCCGACGUAUGUGCAGUAUAUUGCCGUAUAGGUCAUAGUAGUGACUCCGGCUAGAUUGAGUUUGAGCUAUGAAUUCAGUCAUACAUACUACAGUAGGAGUUCCGGCUAACAUAUCACACUUUUAUGAAAUUAUUCUUACCUGGAUUGUUACUUUGUUAUAUUUUAGCAUGGCAUACAUAUGAAAAUGAUAUUGUGAAGCAUGAAUUGGAUGGUUAUGAUUUCAGAUAUAUAUACGUAUAUGCUUACAUCUUGAUUCUAGAAAAUUAAUAUAUGCUUUACAGCGAGGGGUUAGUAUGUUGAUAAAUGAAAUGAUUUUGUAAAACAUUUGUUUUUGCCCACUCACGUUUUCUGUUUUGCGCUCCUUCAGGUUUUAAGUAAGAUUGUUGUUGGUGGCUAGAGGACGUUGGCAGUUUUGACUUAUCCAUAUUAUAGUAGGACAUUCCUGGUAUUGUAUAACUAGUACUUGUCCUGCUGGACUGCACCUAGACUUUAUGCUCUGAAAUAUGAGUGUUUACUGUUGUAAUUAACUCCUAUCACCUUCUGUUUAGUAGUGCAUUCUUGUAAUGUGGUUUUUAAUUAUUCGUAUAUUUGCUAUCUUUUUCGCUUCCGCACUGUGCACAUGACUACGUCACUCUCACGUGACGGCCAGCAUGCUUUGACUUCGGUCGGGGUGUGUCAUUUACAACUUUCAUGAAGAGCUUAACUUCGAAAUUUGCCACUAUAAUCAUAUAAAUCAUAGAUCAAAAUUUAACCGUUGAUUGUUGUUUACAUUUAAACUUCAUUGUUCUCAUCAAAUUUUGUUUUUUGAAAACUUGAUCUAUUAGAGGAUGCAGGAAGAUGAACAGUUUGGAUCGUUGAUAUUAUAUUCAGAGUUUUAUGGUU
rnacentral:lncRNA from 1 species